GCGGUGGUAGCUCGGUGGGUUAGAGUCCCGGCCUGUCCCGCCGGGGGUCGCGGGUUCGAGCCCCGUCCGCCGCGCC
rnacentral:tRNA from 1 species